rnacentral:sRNA from 1 species
CAUGUUUGCCAUGUUGUUUCUACUUGCAGCAAUGUGAGACCUAUGCUUCCUUUCCCUGUGACUUCAGCGCCAAGGAAGAUUGUUACUUCUGCUGUCUAGAUGUCCCGUCAUGCAAUCAGCAACGAGAAGCCUUAUUCAUGGGAAUAAUACACGGUUGAUCCUAGAACAACAUUUCACCAUGAUUAGUGUACGACCAUUGUUUCCACUAUAGAAGAGCUACUGUUGAAAGAUUAUAGAGAAUUAUAGUCACCUGACCAAAUAUUCUUUGUUUUAUUAACGGGUUUAAUAAAAGUCACGUGGGUUUUAUA